CUCCUUUAAAAAAUACUUAGGAAAUGUGUACAUUUUUAUUUGUGUGGGAAGAUGAUAUUGUGAAAUAUUAACAUAAUCUCCCAUCUUGCAAGGACACUCAGAGUUUCACCCUUGGCACCACCCUGCUUGAGGGUAUCGGGAAACAGGCCUCUGCUUUCCCAGAGCAGGGCUGCCGGGACUUUGCAAAUAAAUAUACAGGAUGCUCGGUUCAAUCUGAAUCACAGAAAUGACCUAGAAUUUUUGGCAUCAUUAAAAAAUCUUCUGCAGGGCAGCCCGGGUGGCUCAGUGGCUUAGCGCCACCUUCGGUCCAGGGUGUGAUCCUGGAGACCCAGGAUCGAGUCCCAUGUCGGGCUCCCUGCAUGGAGCCUGCUUCCCCCUCUCUGUGUCUCUGCCUCUCUCUCUCUGUGUCUCUCAUGGAUAAAUAAAUGAAAUCUUAAAAAAAAAAAAAUUUGCAAUUUUGGGGGACCAUAUACUAAAAUUUGUCGUUUACCUGAAAUUCAAAGGUGGCUGAGUGACUCGUAUUUUCCCCGGCAACCCUACCCCAAAGGAGGGUAAAAUCAAAGAACAGAAGCAACAGAGGCUUGGCUUUUAAGUUCAAAAACUGUGGUUGAGCGUAAAAUAAAAAAGCCACGGAGACGACUUGCCGAGUGAUUUUAUUUUCUUGCAUGAGAAGAAAAGAGCUCUGGCGUGGGGAAGGGGCAGAGGCUGGAGCCAGAAAAGAAAGAGGAGGGGGUGAGUGUAGGGGCUCCCCAGGGUUCUCUCUGCACGCCCGGGGGAGGGGGGGUGGUGAGGGGCCUGGAGCAGCCUGGCCUGGGAGCAGGGGUGUGGGCGUGGCUUGUGGUGGCCCCGCCCAGUCUCCGCCCCCAUCCCAGAGUGCAGUGCGCGGGAGUUUCCCAGGGUUCCUCGCGGCUCCUCACGUCCGUCCCGCGCUUCAGGAUGGCGUCGGCAGGUAGGUCGUGAUUGAUAGGAACGUGUAAACUGAAGUUUAACCCUUUGACAUCUUCUAUUCACCAGGUCAGUGUAUCAUUUCUUCCCUUAGAGCUCACCUCUUUCAAAAAAUGUGGUUAGUUCCUAGGAAGAGUUGGUAAUGAUAUGCCUUUAGACUUGUGGGGAGGUAGAAGGAACCCCAGCUCUGCUGCUGCUCCUUUUGCUUUUACAUCUCAAAAUGAUUCAGCAAAGCAGCAGCAGUUGUGAGUGAGCCUUAGGAACUGCAUCCGUGCACACAUGAGAGGGAAAGAGGAGAGAAGGUGACAGGUACCAGUAGGGUCAGAAGACCAGAAGAGGUCUUGGCAAAUCCAACUCUGUAGGCAGUGAUUUAGGUGACGAUAGAAAUAAGUAGCAAUCUUGGAAGCAGUGCUUAAAAUGGGCUGUUGUAUAUAAAUCAGAGGUGGCUGGUGUUUUCCCCCUUUCCCCAAAUCAGAUAUUCACUUAGGUGGAAUCGACUGUAUCUUUUUACACAACAUAUAGAAAAAAAACAUACGUGAAACAGUGAGGUGUGUAGAUGUAUCACCAACACAGAAUGACUACCAACAAUACAACACGCAGAGAGAGAAACAAGUAUUAGGAAAAUGGUUUAAUAUUGGAGACAGAAGCAAAAAACUGCAUCACACAAUAACAUACGUUACAAAAAUAAGUUUGACUGUUUCAACUACACGGUUAUGUUCACAAUGAGGACAGAAGAAUCAGAAAAAACUUUGAUCUAAACAGCAAAAAAGCAAACCCCUAAAGUUGUAACUAAUACAUUUAUCCACUUAAAGUGACUGAGUACUUCUAAAUCUAAUUACCUUAUUGUGUAACUGCACAAUACAGAAUAAAAAGUGAAACUUACCGCUGUAUUUUAAGACAAAAUUCUAAUGCUAGAUAUAAGCAAAGGGAAAAAAGAAAUCAAGCCAAAGUUUUUAAUUCUCAAAAGAAAAGCAACUUUCUUUCUAUCAACCAGAAAUCAAACUUGAAACCAGUCAUUGUCAGGGGGCCACUAGAGUAAGCCACAAAAAUUUCCAUUUUUUUUUAAUCUCCAGUAUAAAAAGUUCCACUGGUACAAAAUGCGUAAGUACAAUCAGUUGUAGAAAUAGGAAAGCCUGCGUAUUUUUUUUUUUUUUUGGCUCAAAUUCCAUCAAACAACAAAAUCCAAAUGCAUCAAUAAAACAAACAAUACUCAAAUGGUCUUACAGUUUCCACUAGGUUGCAUUAACUUUGGCUUUUCUCAGACAAUAUUUAAAAACUAUUUUGUAAUUCUAAACAAAAUGAUAUUAUUAAUCUACAAACAACAAUUCUCACAGCACAAAAAAACACAAAUACAUUUUUUGUAUGACAUUAUUCAAAAAGGUAAUGAAACUACAGGUUUUUUUAAAAUUUUAUUUCUUCUUGUUAAUUAGCACUUAAGAUAAUAAAAACAAACAGUAAAAUGAGUCCAGAGUAGCACAAGCCAAAGAACUAUAACCCCUAUGGUGAAAGAAAGAUGAACUUGUUACGCCUUUGAGGACUGCCAUUUUAUCACAAUUCUCUAAUUUAGUGUAAAAAUGACUAUUCUCUACACUUGAUUUUAAAAAAAGCAGUUUCCCUGUGUGUUUUUCCUUCUGGCAUAGGCCCUUUGCACCCUUGCAGCUUUUUUUCCUUUUGAUAUUAAAAGAUAAAGUGAAUAAAAGGACAGUUUGUCUCUGAGGAGGGUC
rnacentral:lncRNA from 1 species